rnacentral:misc_RNA from 1 species
ACCUCUCUCUUCACUUGUCAAAUGCCAACUUCUGAGCCAAGUGCUAAGCCAUUGCUUCAUACGGAAGUAAAGUAAGAAGUGAAUUGCCAAUGGGUUCCGUGAAAAUUGUAGGGAAAUGAAAGAAAAUGAUCAGCUGAUCAACAAUGGGAACUGUAGUCACCCAUUUUGCUUGGAAUGUUUAAGCAAACAUGUGGAGGAAAAGAUCAAAUUGAGCAUGAAAAUUGUUGCAUGUCCAGGCUUAAACUGUGAAUGUGUCCUACAAUUGCAGACAUACAAGCAUUUUCUCUCUAAGGAUGUGCUCAACCUGAGGGAAAAGCCAAAUGAUCAGCUGAUCAAGAAUAGGAAUUGUGGACUGUGGUCGCAUACUUUGCUUUAAUCGAUGCAGGAGCAACCUGACAAAAAGAGAAACCUCAGUCCAUUUAACGCAAGAUACAAAAAUUGUGGCUAAUUUUCUCUAGCUACUAACAGUUGGCACUUGGCAGCAUAAAUAAGAAGCAACGCACAUUAUGAACUUGAUACACAAUUCACAAAAUCCAUAAUAACACGAGCAAAACUCAAGCAAUCUACUUAUAUUCAAUACUGACAAUAGAUAUAAAAACAAAUAUGAAAAUCAAAUAUUUGAUGACCACAUUUAUAUAAGUCUAAAUAGUUGACUUAAGCAAAAAGAUAUAUCCUAAACACAAUAGAAUACAUGGAUGGCCAAGUCCGAGAUGGCAAAAACUAGAAUAGCAUCCCAAGAAUCAUUGAAGCAAGCCAAUCAAUCACCCAUCAAUUUUUUUUUUAUAAGAUAAUGUAUAAUAGUGCACAACAGAAACAAAUGACAAUCAAAUGAAAAUAG